CAUUCUUGGAAUUACUGAAAUACCAGGUUGAUGCAUGAGGUGGACAGAGCAAGCUCCUAUUCCAUCUCCUUGUUCUAAAAAUCCAUGUAGGAAGUACAGAAAGCUG